rnacentral:rRNA from 1 species
GACAGAGGGUGCAAACGUUGCUCGGAAUCACUGGGCGUAAAGGGCGUGUAGGCGGGAAGGAAAGUCAGAUGUGAAAUCCCUGGGCUCAACCCAGGAACUGCAUUUGAAACUCCCUUUCUUGAGUGCCGGAGAGGAAGGUGGAAUUCCUGGUGUAGAGGUGAAAUUCGUAGAUAUCAGGAGGAACACCGGUGGCGAAGGCGGCCUUCUGGACGGUAACUGACGCUGAGACGCGAAAGCGUGGGGAGCAAACAGG